GGAGGGGUGGCCGAGCGGUUGAAGGCGGCGGUCUUGAAAACCGCUGAAGUCGUAAGGCUUCCGUGGGUUCGAAUCCCACCCCCUCCG
rnacentral:tRNA from 1 species